rnacentral:lncRNA from 1 species
AAAGAUUUAGAUCUAAGCUAAAGCAGAAAGAAGCAUGCACAAACAUUAUUCUGUGUGGGGACAGCAAAAUAUUAACCUGAAUAAUUACAUCUGGCUUUCCAUGUGUAUUUCUUUGGGGUCCUUUCCUGCCUCUCCCCAGAAGUACAUAGUGAGUUGAAGUAAGUUUUAAAAAUAGUGAAAAUCCUGUCACUCCAUCCCACUAAAGAAAGAUACUGUGUCUGGUAGGCAGAAGGUUAUGCUUAUUAUAUUCAGUGUGGUUUUCCUUUGUGAUGCAGAGUAACAAAUUCCAUCAGGUGGUUCCUCCCCUCUCCUGCCCCGCUGAAGCACAGUGGUGCCAACUUCAUUAAUACGUCUCACUGAAACAACUCAGACUUGAUUUUAAAAUUUCCAGUGAUGGAGUAUCUGCUUUGUUCCAUGGUAAACUGCACAAAUGAUUAGUUACCACGACUGUUAAAAGAGGUCUAUUAUGGGAGUGAAUUUGCCUGGCUUAUGCUUUUGAUCUCCAGUUUCUGCUAUGCCAUUAUGAGGAAGUCUUAGAACUCUCUCAGGUUGCAGUCAGGACAUGAACUUUGUCUAAGGCUGUGGCAUCCAGCUCACUCAGACUCCUGGAUCUGGAAGGGCCUGUUUGCAAGGCAGUCUGCAGUGUGACCAUCUCACUGUUGCACAAAGGAGAAAUGAGCAUUCCCAUAAUUCACUUUGGCAAGAAACCAGGCAGAGAUCUACAGGAGUUUAUAUAACUGGAUCCCACCAGGUAAAUAAUUUAGGUUUCAACAAGUCAUUCUUUUCCAAUAACAACUUCCCAACCUGAUCAGUCUUGCAGUGUUUCAUGCGCAGCUUUCUGAAAUCUUUUUAAAGCUGCAUAUCUGCCAAACUGACGUACAGCUUUCCAAACUGCACUGUUUCAAAAAGAUCCAACUUCCAAAUGACGUACUCUGGAUCAGAUCCCCAGGCUGCAGUGAUCGUAACAUGGAAUACAGUACUGUGGUGGACAUCUGGAUAGGGCAGCUCUUGGCUGAAAUUUUUAUGAAGAGGAUAGAUGCUGCUGAGAAAGAAAGAGAAAGGAAUCAGCGGAACCAAGAGGCGAUCUGACUUCUUAAAAGGUCAAACACUUGGAAACAAAUCUGAGGUGUCCUGAAUCCUAAUGCAAUACCAUUCUCAUUAAACUGUGUCAUGGCCUAAAGCAAAUGCUCAGUAUAACUGCGUUUUUACUGCAGCCAUUUUAAAAUGAUGGCUCUUGUGGCAUCCACAUGUCUCAUUUGUUAUAUACAGCCAUGCAAGCCAUGCAGAUGACUGUUAAUGUUACCCUCUCUCCCCCUCAACUAUUAAAUAAACUCAGAAAUUACAAUGACA